AAGCUAUGAUGAUGUUAUAGUUCAGCUUAUCCAAGGAUAUGAUGAUAAAUUUCGCCCCUAUCAGAGCUUU
rnacentral:snoRNA from 1 species